GGCUUUAUAGUGUAGUGGUUAUCACAUCGGAUUCUGAACCUCAGUUCUUACUUCCGGUAACCGCGGUUCGAGUCCGCGUAAGGCCU
rnacentral:tRNA from 1 species